rnacentral:rRNA from 1 species
AGAGUUUGAUCCUGGCUCAGGAUGAACGCUGGCGGCGUGCCUAAUACAUGCAAGUCGAACGAGGUGGAUGGGAGCUUGCUCCUUGAUACCGAGUGGCGAACGGGUGAGUAACACGUAGGUAACCUGCCCUUAAGCUUGGGAUACCCAGAGGAAACUUUGGCUAAUACCGGAUAACAACAGAAGAGGCAUCUCUUCAGUUUGAAAGGCCCUGCAAGGGGUCACUUAAGGAUGGACCUGCGGCGCAUUAGCUAGUUGGUGAGAUAACAGCCCACCAAGGCGAGGAUGCGUAGCCGACCUGAGAGGGUGAUCGGCCACAUUGGAACUGAGACACGGUCCAAACUCCUACGGGAGGCAGCAGUAAGGAGUUUUCGGCAAUGGGGGAAACCCUGACCGAGCAACGCCGAUUCGCUUAGGAAAUGAAGCGGAUUUGACGGUACCUUACCAGAAAGCCACGGCUAACUACGUGCCAGCAGCCGCGGUAAUACGUAGGUGGCAAGCGUUAUCCGGAAUUAUUGGGCGUAAAGAGGGAGCAGGCGGCAAGAUAAGUUUGAAGUGAAAGCGUGGAGCUCAACUCCAUACAGCUUCGAAAACUGUCUAGCUAGAGUACGAGAGAAGUGAACGGAACUCCAUGUGUAGCGGUGAAAUGCGUAGAUAUAUGGAAGAACACCAGUGGCGAAGGCGGUUCACUAGCUCGAAACUGACGCUCAGUCCCGAAAGCGUGGGUAGCAAAUAGGAUUAGAUACCCUAGUAGUCCACGCUGUAAACGAUGAGAACUAAAUAUUGCCGCGAGGCAGUGUUGAAGCUAACGCAUUAAGUUCUCCGCCUGGGGAGUACGAUCGCAAGAUUGAAACUUAAAGGAAUUGACGGGGACCCGCACAAGCAGUGGAGCAUGUGGUUUAAUUCGACGCAACGCGAAGAACCUUACCAGGGCUUGACAUGGAGGCUAAAUACUUAGAGAUAAGGAAAUAUACGCCUCACACAGGUGGUGCAUGGUUGUCGUCAGCUCGUGUCGUGAGAUGUUGGGUUAAGUCCCGCAACGAGCGCAACCCCUCUCCUUAGUUGCCAUCAUUUAGUUGGGAACUCUAAGGAUACUGCCGAUGUAAGUCGGAGGAAGGUGGGGAUGACGUCAAAUCAUCAUGCCCUUUAUGUCCUGGGCGACACACGUGCUAC